GGUUCCGUGGUGUAGUGGAUAUCACAUCGCUCUCCGGAAGCGAAGGUCAUGGGUUCGAUCCCCAUCGGAAUCG